rnacentral:rRNA from 1 species
UACGUAGGGACCGAGCGUUGUCCGGAUUCAUUGGGCGUAAAGAGCUCGUAGGCGGCUGUUCAAGUCGAACGUGAAAACUCGGAGCUCAACUCCGAGCCUGCGUUCGAUACUGGACGGCUAGAGUCUGGUAGGGGGAUCUGGAAUUCCUGGUGUAGCGGUGGAAUGCGCAGAUAUCAGGAGGAACACCGGUGGCGAAGGCGGCUUUCUGGACAGUAACUGACGCUGAGGCGCGAAAGCUAGGGGGAGCAAACAGG